rnacentral:rRNA from 1 species
AACGAACGCUGGCGGCAUGCCUAACACAUGCAAGUCGAACGAGACCUUCGGGUCUAGUGGCGCACGGGUGCGUAACGCGUGGGAACCUGCCCUUAGGUUCGGAAUACCUCCCCGAAAGGGGUGCUAAUACCGGAUAAUGUCUUCGGACCAAAGAUUUAUCGCCUUUGGAUGGGCCCGCGUUGGAUUAGCUAGUUGGUAGGGUAAAAGCCUACCAAGGCGACGAUCCAUAGCUGGUCUGAGAGGAUGAUCAGCCACACUGGGACUGAGGCACGGCCCAGACUCCUACGGGAGGCAGCAGUGGGGAAUAUUGGACAAUGGGCGAAAGCCUGAUCCAGCAAUGCCGCGUGAGUGAUGAAGGCCUUAGGGUUGUAAAGCUCUUUUACCCGGGAUGAUAAUGACAGUACCGGGAGAAUAAGCUCCGGCUAACUCCGUG